UUGGGGUACCCUGACCCCAUUUUCGGGGUUCCCAGGUGGAUUUUGAGGGUUCCCAGGUGGAUUUUGGGGCUCCCCGGUGGAUUUUGGGGUGCCCUGACCCAUUUUCGGGGUUCCCAGGUGCACGUGGAGCAGGAGCUGCUCCUCUACGAGGGGGUUGGGGGUUCCCAGGUGGAUUUUGGGGGUUCCCAGGUGCACGUGGAGCAGGAGCUGCUCCUCUACGAGGGGGUUGGGGGUUCCCAGGUGGAUUUUGGGGGUUCCCA
ensembl:lncRNA